ensembl:misc_RNA Metazoa_SRP Metazoan signal recognition particle RNA
GCCGGGCGUGGUGGUGUGCGCCUGUAGUCCCAGCUACUUGGGAGGCUGAGGCAGGAGAAUCACUUGAACCAGGGAGGCGGAGGUUGCAGUGAGCUGAGAUUGUGCCACUGCAUUCCAGCCUGGGCAACAGAGUGAGACCCUGUCUUAA